rnacentral:rRNA from 1 species
GGCAUCCUAUGGGGGGCAGCAGUGGGGAAUAUUGCACAAUGGGGGAAACCCUGAUGCAGCGACGCCGCGUGAGUGAAGAAGUAUUUCGGUAUGUAAAGCUCUAUCAGCAGGGAAGAAAAUGACGGUACCUGACUAAGAAGCCCCGGCUAACUACGUGCCAGCAGCCGCGGUAAUACGUAGGGGGCAAGCGUUAUCCGGAUUUACUGGGUGUAAAGGGAGCGUAGACGGCGAUGCAAGUCUGAAGUGAAAGGCGGGGGCCCAACCUCCGGACUGCUUUGGAAACUGUAUGGCUGGAGUGCAGGAGG